rnacentral:rRNA from 1 species
UGCGUAGGCGGUUUCUUAAGUCGGAUGUGAAAGCCCUGGGCUCAACCUGGGAAUGGCACUCGAUACUGGGAAGCUUGAGUGCGGUAGAGGAGGGUGGAAUUCCCGGUGUAGCGGUGAAAUGCGUAGAGAUCGGGAGGAACAUCAGUGGCGAAGGCGACCCUCUGGACCAGCACUGACGCUGAGGCACGAAAGCGUGGGGAGCAAACAGGAUUAGAUACCCUGGUAGUCCACGCCCUAAACGAUGCGAACUGGAUGUUGGGCUCAACUCGGAGCUCAGUGUCGAAGCUAACGCGUUAAGUUCGCCGCCUGGGGAGUACGCUCGCAAGAGUGAA